rnacentral:rRNA from 1 species
CGCUGGCGGCACGCCUAACACAUGCAAGUCGAACGGAGAUUGAGAGCUUGCUCUUAAAUCUUAGUGGCGGACGGGUGAGUAACACGUGAGCAACCUGCCUCUGAGAGAGGGAUAGCUUCUGGAAACGGAUGGUAAUACCUCAUAACAUUACAUGACCGCAUGAUCGUGUAAUCAAAGAUUUAUCACUCAGAGAUGGGCUCGCGUCUGAUUAGCUAGUUGGUGAGGUAACGGCCCACCAAGGCGACGAUCAGUAGCCGGACUGAGAGGUUGAACGGCCACAUUGGGACUGAGACACGGCCCAGACUCCUACGGGAGGCAGCAGUGAGGGAUAUUACACAAUGGAGGAAACUCUGAUGCAGCGAUGCCGCGUGGAGGAAGAAGGUUUUCGGAUUGUAAACUCCUGUUUCGAGGGACGAUAAUGACGGUACCUCGGGAGGAAGCUCCGGCUAACUACGUGCCAGCCGCCGC